rnacentral:rRNA from 1 species
UACCUGCAGCUCAAGUGGUGGCCGCUAUUAUUGGGCCUAAAACGUCCGUAGCCGGUUUGGUAAAUGCCUGGGUAAAUCGUGUAGCUUAACUAUACGAAUUCCGGGUAGACUGCCAAACUUGAGACCGGGAGAGGCUAGAGGUACUCCUGGGGUAGAGGUGAAAUUCUGUAAUCCUAGGGGGACCACCAGUGGCGAAGGCGUCUAGCUAGAACGGGUCUGACGGUGAGGGACGAAGCCCUGGGGCACAAACCGGAUUAGAUACCCGGGUAGUCCAGGGUGUAAACGCUGCUUGCUUGAUGUUAGCCGGGCUCCGAGCCCAGCUAGUGUCGGAGAGAAGUUGUUAAGCAAGCUGCCUGGGAAGUACGGUCGCAAGGCUGAAACUUAAAGGAAUUGGCGGGGAGCACAGCAACGGGUGGAGCGUGCGGUUU